rnacentral:rRNA from 1 species
AGAGUGAACGCUGGCGGCAGGCCUAACACAUGCAAGUCGAACGGCAGCACAGGGGAGCUUGCUCCCUGGGUGGCGAGUGGCGGACGGGUGAGGACAACGUCGGAAUCUGCCUUUUUGUGGGGGAUAACGUAGGGAAACUUACGCUAAUACCGCAUACGACCCCAGGCCGGGAGGUUUGGGGUGAAAGCGGAGGACCUUCGGGCUUCGCGCAGAAAGAUGAGCCGACGUCGGAUUAGCUAGUUGGUGGGGUAAAGGCCCACCAAGGCGACGAUCCGUAGCUGGUCUGAGAGGAUGAUCAGCCACACUGGAACUGAGACACGGUCCAGACUCCUACGGGAGCAGCAGUGGGGAAUAUGGACAAUGGGCGCAAGCCUGAUCCAGCCAUGCUGCGUGUGUGAAGAGGCCUUGGUUGUAAGCACUUUGUGGAGAAAGCAUGGUAAUACCUGUGUAUGACGUACCCAAAGAAUAAGCACGGCUAACUUGUGCAGCAGCCGA